UCAAAUUCAGUCAGGCGGCGCAUGAUUUACAAUGCGCAAUAUCAACACCACACGUGCACAAGCAGGGUUUCUGCUAUAUGCAUGUAGCAGCGGCACACUGCCGCGCCAUCAGCCGUUUAUGAAAUGUCAUAAAGUCGUAAUUAUACACUCCGCAGAGCCAUCUACUCUACUGAUCUCAGGCAGCCACUAUCUCACUCUCCCCUCUGAGGAGGAAAAACUGGAACAUGAAAACCGCACUCACGCGGGUCCCCUGAAAUAUAACAGCUACAGUUUAUCGCAAAAUAGUGUCGGACACACUGACUUUGAUGAAUUGCCAAAUAUGUCACAUA